rnacentral:rRNA from 1 species
AGAGAUGUGUGAUGACGCAUAUCAAUAAGCGGAGGAAAAGAAACUAACUAGGAUUCCCUCAGUAACGGCGAGUGAAGCGGGAAGAGCUCAAAUUUGAAAUCUUCAAGGUUCUACCUUGACGAAUUGUAGUUUAAAGAAGUGUUUUCUGUUGGAGUUUUGGUAAAAGUUCUUUGGAAUAGGACAUCAUAGAGGGUGAGAAUCCCGUAUUUGACCAUUAUUUCCAACUUUGUGAUACACUUUCAAAGAGUCGGAUUGUUUGGGAAUGCAGUCCAAAAUGGGUGGUAAAUUUCAUCUAAAGCUAAAUACUGGCGAGAGACCGAUAGCGAACAAGUACCGUGAGGGAAAGAUGAAAAGAACUUUGAAAAGAGAGUUAAACAGUACGUGAAAUUGUCAAAAGGGAAGCGUUUGACACCAGUGUUGUUUUUCCGAAAAUCAAUUACGAAUGUUUUGUUUUUAAGAAGUUAUGACUUCAUCGGCUUGCUUCUUUCUUUACGAAACUUUCUUAAUGCACUUUUCGGUUAACAAGUCAACAUCAAUUUCUUUUGUUGUAAAAGGGUAUGAGGAAGGUGGCUUUCUUUUCGGAGAAAGUGUUUAUAGCCUUGUGCCUCUGCAAUCGGAGAGAUUGAGGUCUGCAGCGUAGAUCCUUCGGGGUUAGAUACGUUUGUGCUAAGUUAUAGCUUUUCAUAGACAACUUGUUGACUAUGUUUAGUCUUGUAGCUUACUCGCUUAUGCUAUUUUACCUACGCUUAGGAUGUUGAACUCUAUCACACACAG